CCUGCCCUAGAGGUGUUGCAGGUAUGGCUGCUGCAUCACAUGUGGGUCAGUAGGUGGUAGAGAGGAGAGGGACUGUGUCUAUGCUCAGUGUUCUGACCCAUGAACAUCUGAGUGAUUAGGAGCCUAACAUU